CCUACGGGAGGCAGCAGUGGGGAAUUUUGGACAAUGGGCGAAAGCCUGAUCCAGCAAUGCCGCGUGCAGGAUGAAGGCCUUCGGGUUGUAAACUGCUUUUGUACGGAACGAAACGGUUCUUUCUAAUAAAGAGAGCUAAUGACGGUACCGUAAGAAUAAGGCACCGGCUAACUACGUGCCAGUCGCCGCCGUAAUACCUAUGGUGCAAGCGUUAAUCCGGAAUUACUUGGGCGUAAAUCCGUGCGCAGGCUGGUUAUGUUAAGACAGUUGUGCAAUGCCCCGGGCUCAACCUGGGAAAUGCAUCUGUAACUUGCCAAUAGCUAGCAUACGGUAGAGGGGGAUGGAUUCCCGCGUGUAGCAGUGAAAUGCGUAGAUAUGCGGAGGAACACCGAUGGCGACAAGGCAAUCCCCUGGACCUGUACCUAGACGCUCAUGCACGAAAGCGUGGGGAGCAAACAGGAUUAGAUACCCUGGUAGUCCACGCCCUAAACGAUGUCAACUGGUUGUUGGGUCUUCACUGACUCAGUCCACGAAGCUACACGCGUGAAGUUGACCGCCUGGGGAGUACGGCCGGCAAGGUUG
rnacentral:rRNA from 1 species